UUUAAAGAGAGGUUGGGCUAAAUACUGUUCAUUUUGCACAUUCCAUUUCACACUUAAACUAGUUCGUUACUGUUCAUUAACUUGUUUGCAUCGUUUAUCCAUGAAUAUCUCUCCACUGUUCGUUAAAUAUCUCGCAAAUCACGUCUCUAUCCACUUCCUUCCUCGUUCGCUUCUUUUCUCAUUUCUUGGUUUCGUACUAACCUCAAGAACUGCACUCCAAAACGAUAUGAGCAGCAAAGAGAAUCUACUGGCGACAAAGCUCAAGUGGCCAACCCAUCUGAAGGUUGCGUUUUGGUGAAAAAGAUGAAAUUCGGAAAAAACAAGCGAAAAGGGACCAAAAUGAAAGAAAGCGAAAGUUCAGGGACGAAGUUGAAAAUAAUUCAAAGAUGAGAUGACCGAUGGAAUGAUGAUUCAAGAAUGCUAAGGGUCAAUUGGGUGCAAUUAGAAGUCAAAGGAAGUGAAAUAUGAUCAUAACAUAUUCACAUAUCAAUUCCUAAUCAAAAAAGUUGCGCAUCGAUUUUCAGCCUUAUAUUUAGACCUAUUUUUGAUAUGGAAAAUGAUCGAUCUAGAAGAUGAUGUCUGAAUCAGAGUUGUAUCCCUUUGAGAUAUCUUUCAAAUGCAACUUGAAUCAUCUCAAUCGGAUAUCAGAAGGAAAAGUUAUGGCUAAAAUACUAAAAGUUGUCAGGCGGAGAAAAUGACAAUAACCAUGCGGUCGCACUAGCACCUCCAGGGAAUUCCAGAGGCCAAAAUGUUUCUACCAUGUGACUACAACACUUAUAACCAUGCGGUCGCAUGGUUAUUCCUUGAGGCCAAAAUUUAUGUUUCCUUAAUCGACUCAACCACUUAUGGAAACACGGUUUUCACACGUUUUAAACCCUAAUCUCAACCAGAAUGUCUAUUAUUCAUUCUCUAUCACUUUUCUUUGAUUUUUGGCUCAAGAAAUUCAUGGAGAACUAAACUUAUUGGUGAAGCCACGAAGGAACUCGAUUAGAUUUGGGAAUUUUCAUGUCUUUUCUUGCUUAAAUAUGUUCUUUCAUUGUUAAACAAUUCUAGAUUUAGAUUUCUUAUUCUUAUGAACAUGUUUUGAGAUUGGUUUAAUUUGUAUUAAAUUUUCA